CGGACGGGUGAGUAAUGCUUGGGAAUCUAGCUUAUGAGGGGGGAUAACUACGGGAAACUGUAGCUAAUACCGCGUAAUAUCGAAAGAUUAAAGUGUGGGACCUUCGGGCCACAUGCCAUAGGAUGAGCCCAAGUGGGAUUAGGUAGUUGGUGAGGUAAAGGCUCACCAAGCCGACGAUCUCUAGCUGGUCUGAGAGGAUGACCAGCCACACUGGGACUGAGACACGGCCCAG
rnacentral:rRNA from 1 species